rnacentral:misc_RNA from 1 species
AACGCACAUUGCGCCCUUUGGUAUUCCGAAGGGCAUGCCUAUUCGAGCGUCAUUAUCAACCCUCAAGCCCGGCUUGUUAUUGGGCCUUUUACCGUGACAGGUAGGCCCCAAAGAUAAUGGCGGCGUCGCAGAUGACCCCUGGUGCAGCGAGCUUAUAGCAUACACCUUGUGUCGUUGGCGAUCCGGCCACCUUUUCUUGCUGCUCGCAGCAAUAAUUUCUCAGGUUGACCUCGGAUUAGGUAGGAAUACCCGCUGAACUUAA